UAAUAACUUUUGUUAGAA
rnacentral:tRNA from 1 species